rnacentral:rRNA from 1 species
CCUACGGGAGGCAGCAGUGGGGAAUAUUGCACAAUGGGGGAAACCCUGAUGCAGCGACGCCGCGUGAGUGAAGAAGUAUUUCGGUAUGUAAAGCUCUAUCAGCAGGAACGAGACAAGACGGUACCUGACUAAGAAGCCGCGGCUAACUACGUGCCAGCAGCCGCGGUAAUACGUAGGGGGCAAGCGGUAUCCGGAAUCACUGGGUGUAAAGGGAGCGUAGACGGCUGUGCAAGCCCGGAGGGAAAGGGGGGGGACCAACCCCUGGACUGCUUUGGGAACUGUGCGGCUGGAGUGCAGGAGAGGUAAGUGGAAUGCCUGGUGUAGCGGUGAAAUGCGUAGAUAUUAGGAGGAACACCAGUGGCGAAGGCGGCUUACUGGACUGUAACUGACGUUGAGGCUCGAAAGCGUGGGGAGCAAACAGGAUUAGAUACCCUUGUAGUC